rnacentral:rRNA from 1 species
UGCCCAGACUCCUACGGGAGGCAGCAGUGAGGAAUAUUGGUCAAUGGACGAAAGUCUGAACCAGCCAUGCCGCGUGCAGGAAGACGGCUCUAUGAGUUGUAAACUGCUUUUGUACAAGGGUAAACCUGAAUACGUGUAUUCAGCUGAAAGUACUGUACGAAUAAGGAUCGGCUAACUCCGUGCCAGCAGCCGCGGUAAUACGGAGGAUCCAAGCGUUAUCCGGAUUUAUUGGGUUUAAAGGGUGCGCAGGCGGAAUGUCAAGUCAGCGGUAAAAUUGAGAGGCUCAACCUCUUCGAGCCGUUGAAACUGGUUUUCUUGAGUGAGCGAGAAGUAUGCGGAAUGCGUGGUGUAGCGGUGAAAUGCAUAGAUAUCACGCAGAACUCCGAUUGCGAAGGCAGCAUACCGGCGCUCAACUGACGCUCAUGCACGAAAGUGUGGGUAUCGAACAGGAUUAGAUACCACUGUACAA